GGUUUAUUAGUAUAGUGGUUAUUGCACUCGGUUGUCAGCCGAGUAACACGAGUUCGAUUCUCGUAUAGACCG
rfam:Lactococcus phage P087, complete genome.